rnacentral:rRNA from 1 species
AGCGAACGCUGGCGGCAGGCCUAACACAUGCAAGUCGAACGAAGUCUUCGGACUUAGUGGCGGACGGGUGAGUAACACGUGGGAACGUGCCUUUAGGUUCGGAAUAACUCAGGGAAACUUGUGCUAAUACCGAAUGUGCCCUUCGGGGGAAAGAUUUAUCGCCUUUAGAGCGGCCCGCGUCUGAUUAGCUAGUUGGUGAGGUAAUGGAUCACCAAGGCGACGAUCAGUAGCUGGUCGGAGAGGAUGAUCAGCCACAUUGGGACUGAGACACGGCCCAAACUCCUACGGGAGGCAGCAGUGGGGAAUCUGGCGCAAUGGGCGAAAGCCUGACUCAGCCAUGCCGCGUGAAUGAUGAAGGUCUUAGGAUUGUAAAAUUCUUUCACCGGGGACGAUAAUGACGGUACCCGGAGAAGAAGCCCCGGCUAACUUCGUGCCAGCAGCCGCCGUAACAC